AACGAACGCUGGCGGCAUGCCUAACACAUGCAAGUCGAACGAGACCUUCGGGUCUAGUGGCGCACGGGGGCGUAACGCGUGGGAACCUGCCCUUAGGUUAGGAAUAACUCCCCGAAAGGGGUGCUAAUACCGGAUAAUGUCUUCGGACCAAAGAUUUAUCGCCUUUGGAUGGGCCCGCGUUGGAUUAGCUAGUUGGUAGGGUAAAAGCCUACCAAGGCGACGAUCCAUAGCUGGUCUGAGAGGAUGAUCAGCCACACUGGGACUGAGACACGGCCCAGACUCCUACGGGAGGCAGCAGUGGGGAAUAUUGGACAAUGGGCGAAAGCCUGAUCCAGCAAUGCCGCGUGAGUGAUGAAGGCCUUAGGGUUGUAAAGCUCUUUUACCCGGGAUGAUAAUGACAGUACCGGGAGAAUAAGCUCCGGCUAACUCCGUG
rnacentral:rRNA from 1 species